GAUGAACGCUGGCGGCGUGCCUAAUACAUGCAAGUCGAGCGAACAGACGAGGAGCUUGCUCCUCUGACGUUAGCGGCGGACGGGUGAGUAACACGUGGAUAACCUACCUAUAAGACUGGGAUAACUUCGGGAAACCGGAGCUAAUACCGGAUAAUAUAUUGAACCGCAUGGUUCAAUAGUGAAAGACGGUUUUGCUGUCACUUAUAGAUGGAUCCGCGCCGCAUUAGCUAGUUGGUAAGGUAACGGCUUACCAAGGCAACGAUGCGUAGCCGACCUGAGAGGGGGAUCGGCCACCCUGGAACUGAAACCCGGUCCUGACCCCUACGGGAGGCAGCAGUAGGGAAUCUUCCGCAAUGGGCGAAAGCUUGACGGAGAAACGCCGCGUGGGUGAAGAAGGUCUUCGGAUCGUAAAACUCUGUUUUUAGGGAAGAAAAAAUGUGUAAGUAACUAUGCACGUUUUGACGGUACCAAAUAAAAAAGCCACGGCAAACUACGU
rnacentral:rRNA from 1 species